UCAGAAUGAACGCUGGCGGCGCGCCUAAUACAUAGCAAGUCGAGCGAGAAGACGUAGCAAUACGUUGUAAAGCGGCGAACGGGUGAGGAAUACAUGGGUAACCUACCCUCGAGUGGGGUAUAACUAAGCCGAAAGGUUAGCUAAUACCGCGUACGCUUCUUGGACUUCGGUUCAGGAGGAAAGCGAUACCGUGGGUAUCGCGCUCUUGGAUGGGCUCAUGUCCUAUCAGCUUGUUGGUGAGGUAACGGCUCACCAAGGCUUCGACGGGUAGCUGGUCUGAGAGGACGAUCAGCCACACUGGCACUGCGACACGGGCCAGACUCCUACGGGAGGCAGCAGUAAGGAAUAUUGCGCAAUGGGCGAAAGCCUGACGCAGCCGACGCCGCGUGGGGGAUGAAGGUCUUCGGAUUGUAAACCCCUUUCGGGAGGGAAGAUGGAAUGGGGUAACCCAUUCGGACGGUACCUCCAGAAGCAGCCACGGCUAACUUCGUGCCAGCCGCUGC
rnacentral:rRNA from 1 species